rnacentral:rRNA from 1 species
UGCCAGCCGCCGCGGUAAUACGAAGGGUGCUAGCGUUGUUCGGAAUUACUGGGCGUAAAGAGCAUGUAGGCGGAUGAAUUAGUCAGAGGUGAAAGCCCCGAGCUCAACCUGGGAAUAGCGCUUGAUACUGCAUUGCUUGAGUCCGGGAGAGGUGAGCGGAAUUCCCAGUGUAGAGGUGAAAUUCGUAGAUAUUGGGAAGAACACCGGUGGCGAAGGCGGCUAACUGGCUCGGUACUGACGCUGAGAUGCGAAAGCGUGGGGAGCAAACAGGAUUAGAUA